UAAGAUAGUUUCAAGAAAUUUUGGUUUUGCGAAGCCCUCGAAACAGAGAAUCUAAACUCUCCGGAUGUGAAAGCAUUUUGAUUUCAGAAUUUGGAGGCUGAUUAUAGUGUGUUAUUGAAUUAUUGCAGAACAUUCAGAUUCAUACAGAGAUAAUAAAAGUGCGCUGUUGUGAUACUGCGAGGAAGGGAAUCAAAUUAAUCAAUGGGUUCGGCAGGGAAAGAGGCGUACAGGAGCCUUCUGAAAGCGGUGAAGAAACACGUUGUAAAAGGAGAGCACAAACCCUAUUUCACCGACUAUAUAAGGGAGGAGUUUAGGAAGAGCGUUAACAGUCAAGCUCCUAACGCUCGGGAAGGAUUACAGCUUGCCAAAGAUUACACUUUUCUGCUCAACAGUGUUCACCAUCACAAGGACUUGCUAUUUUCUUACAAUAUCGCGGUUGAUAGGUCUGAUGAGAUGAAGAAAGUUCUGGGCAAAUCCGCAGCAAGUGUGGGUCUCCAACUCCCUGAUGUUUAUCAGCCAUGACAGCCAAAGGAGCUUUCAUUAGCAGCAAUGGAAACUGGGAUUUGCUGCAAAACUGCCCAAAUUCAGGCAUUUAUCAGCUCUGCAGAAUUUCCAAGCCUUUUUACAUGCCUUCAACAUGAACAGCAUUGAUAAUGCUUCAGUCAAGAAAUCUUGUUGAAUUUCAAGUUUUUUUUUUUAAUAAAAAUAAAUAAAUAAAUAAAUAUAAUUGUGGUAUUUUAAGGUUGUGAUUUUCGCAUUCCAAUUAUUUUGAUUUAGGAAAAAAAUAUUAAAAUAAAAAAAA